rfam:Felis catus isolate Cinnamon breed Abyssinian chromosome D1, whole genome shotgun sequence.
GCCUGGGUGGCUCAGUCAGUUGAGCGUCUGACUUCAGCUCAGGUCAUGAUCUCACAGUCGGUGGGUUCAAGCCCUGCAUUGGGCU